rnacentral:rRNA from 1 species
GACGUAGGGCGCGAGCGUUGUCCGGAUUUAUUGGGCGUAAAGAGCUCGUAGGCGGCUUGUCGCGUCGAAUGUGAAAACCCACGGCUCAACUGCGGGCUUGCAUUCGAUACGGGCAGGCUAGAGUUCGGUAGGGGAGACUGGAAUUCCUGGUGUAGCGGUGAAAUGCGCAGAUAUCAGGAGGAACACCGGUGGCGAAGGCGGGUCUCUGGGCCGAUACUGACGCUGAGGAGCGAAAGCGUGGGGAGCGAACAGG